rnacentral:rRNA from 1 species
AGCGAACGCUGGCGGCAGGCCUAACACAUGCAAGUCGAGCGCCGUAGCAAUACGGAGCGGCAGACGGGAGAGUAACACGUGGGAACGUACCCUUUGGUUCGGAACAACCCAGGGAAACUUGGGCUAAUACCGGAUAAGCCCUUACGGGGAACGAUUUAUCGCCUCAGGAUCGGCCCACGUCUUAUUAGCUAGUUGGUGGGGUAACGGCCCACCAAGGCGACGAUCAGUAGCUGGUCUGAGAGGAUGAUCAGCCUCACUGGGACUGAGACACGGCCCAGACUCCUACGGGAGGCAGCAGUGGGGAAUAUUGGACAAUGGGCGCAAGCCUGAUCCAGCCAUGCCGCGUGGGUGAUGAAGGCCCUAGGGUUGUAAAGCCCUUUCGGCGGGGAAGAUAAUGACGGUACCCGCAGAAGAAGCCCCGGCUAACUUCGUGCCAGCCGCCGCCGUAAGAC